rnacentral:lncRNA from 1 species
GCUCAUUUAGGUUUGCAUUUGCAUCAACAUGCAAGUGACAAAGACAAUCAAUUAAAAGACCUUGUGAACCAAUUUAUUUUAUAAAUAAAUGGAACAAAAAUCUUUAUUGAAAUAAAUUUUAAAAUAUUUCUGUGCUAGCACAGACAUGAAAAUCAAAUUCUGACUAGCUAUAGAAAUAUAAUAAUAAUCUUUUAAAUCUAAUCUAACAUUAGAUGGUAAUCGA